rnacentral:rRNA from 1 species
CGCAAGCCUGACGGAGCAAGACCGCGUGGGGGAGGAAGGCUCUAGGGCUGUAAACCCCUUUUCUUUGGGAAGAACAAAAUGACGGUACCAAAGGAAUCAGCCUCGGCUAACUCCGUGCCAGCAGCCGCGGUAAUACGGAGGAUGCAAGCGUUAUCCGGAAUUAUUGGGCGUAAAGCGUCCGUAGGUGGUUAAUCAAGUCUGCUGUUAAAGACAGUGGCUCAACUACUGAAAGGCAGUAGAUACUGAAGGACUAGAGUGCGGUAGGGGCAGAGGGAAUUCCCGGUGUAGCGGUGAAAUGCGUAGAUUUCGGGAAGAACAUCGGUGGCGAAAGCGCUCUGCUGGGCCGCAACUGACACUCAGGGACGAAAGCUAGGGGAGCG